UACGUAGGUGGCAAGCGUUGUUCGGAAUUAUUGGGCGUAAAGCGCACGUAGGCGGCUUAGCAAGUCGGAAGUGAAAUCCCUCGGCUCAACCAAGGAAGUGCUUUCGAAACUGCUGAGCUUGAGUACUUAAGAGGAUCGCGGAAUUCCCGGUGUAGAGGUGAAAUUCGUAGAUAUCGGGAGGAACACCAGUGGCGAAGGCGGCGAUCUGGGAAGAUACUGACGCUGAGGUGCGAAAGCGUGGGGAGCAAACAGG
rnacentral:rRNA from 1 species